GCCUAACACAUGCAAGUCGAGCGGCAGCACGGGAAGCUUGCUUCCUGGUGGCGAGCGGCGGACGGGUGAGUAAUGCAUAGGAAUCUGCCCGAUAGUGGGGGAUAACCUGGGGAAACCCAGGCUAAUACCGCAUACGCCCUACGGGGGAAAGCAGGGGCUCUUCGGACCUUGCGCUAUCGGAUGAGCCUAUGUCGGAUUAGCUGGUUGGUGAGGUAAAGGCUCACCAAGGCGACGAUCCGUAGCUGGUCUGAGAGGAUGAUCAGCCACAUCGGGACUGAGACACGGCCCGAACUCCUACGGGAGGCAGCAGUGGGGAAUAUUGGACAAUGGGCGCAAGCCUGAUCCAGCCAUGCCGCGUGAGUGAAGAAGGCCUUAGGGUUGUAAAGCACUUUCAGUGGGGAAGAAAGCCUUUCGGUUAAUACCCGAGAGGAAGGACAUCACCCACAGAAGAAGCACCGGCUAACUCCGUGCCAGCAGCCGCGGUAAUACGGAGGGUGCGAGCGUUAAUCGGAAUUACUUGGCGUAAAGCGCGCGUAGGUGGCUUGAUAAGCCGGUUGUGAAAGCCCCGGGCUCAACCUGGGAACGGCAUCCGGAACUGUCAGGCUAGAGUGCAGGAGAGGAAGGUAGGAUUCCCGGUGUAGCGGUGAAAUGCGUAGAGAUCGGGAGGAAUACCAGUGGCGAACGCGGCCUUCUGGACUGACACUGACACUGAGGUGCGAAAGCGUGGGUAGCAAACAGGAUUAGAUACCCUGGUAGUCCACGCCGUAAACGAUGUCGACUAGCCGUUGGGUCCUUCGCGGACUUUGUGGCGCAGUUAACGCGAUAAGUCGACCGCCUGGGGAGUACGGCCGCAAGGUUAAAACUCAAAUGAAUUGACGGGGGCCCGCACAAGCGGUGGAGCAUGUGGUUUAAUUCGAUGCAACGCGAAGAACCUUACCUACCCUUGACAUCCUGCGAACCCUUCGGAGACGAAGGGGUGCCUUCGGGAACGCAGAGACAGGUGCUGCAUGGCUGUCGUCAGCUCGUGUUGUGAAAUGUUGGGUUAAGUCCCGUAACGAGCGCAACCCUUGUCCUUAUUUGCCAGCGAGUAAUGUCGGGAACUCUAAGGAGACUGCCGGUGACAAACCGGAGGAAGGUGGGGACGACGUCAAGUCAUCAUGGCCCUUACGGGUAGGGCUACACACGUGCUACAAUGGUCGGUACAAAGGGUUGCGAACUUGCGAAAGUGAGCUAAUCCCAGAAAGCUGAUCUCAGUCCGGAUCGGAGUCUGCAACUCGACUCCGUGAAGUCGGAAUCGCUAGUAAUCGUGAAUCAGAAUGUCACGGUGAAUACGUUCCCGGGCCUUGUACACACCGCCCGUCACACCAUGGGAGUGGACUGCACCAGAAGUGGUUAGCCUAACCUUCGGGAGGGCGAUCACCACGGUGUGGUUCAUGACUGGGGUGAAGUCGUAACAAGGUAGCCGUAGGGGAACCUGCGGCUGGAUCACCUCCUUA
rnacentral:rRNA from 1 species